rnacentral:misc_RNA from 1 species
AGGACAGAAACGCGCUGAGAGAGCUUUUCAGAAAGCAGCUUACGGUAAAGUUUCGAAAAAUUCCGCUGUGAAAAAGGAGGCAAAAGAAACAAAAGAGCAAGCCUAGGGUGGAUGGUCCAGGAAUGCUAAAUAUGGCAUAUUUACUUUGACUGAAGAACUAUUUAUCCUUAUUAAAAUAAAAAGGAAUGCAUCAAAAUG